rnacentral:rRNA from 1 species
AUACGGAGGGUGCAAACGUUGUUCGGAAUUACGGGGCAUAAAGCGCACGUAGGCGGUCCUGUCAGUGUGAAGUGAAAUCCCACGGCUCAACCGUGGAACUGCUUUGCAUACUGCAGGACUCGAGGACGGUAGGGGAGAGCGGAACUCCUGGUGGAGCGGUGAAAUGCGUAGAUAUCAGGAGGAACACCAGUGGCGAAGGCGGCUCUCUGGUCCGUUUCUGACGCUGAGGUGCGAAAGCUAGGGUAGCGAACGGGAUUAGAUACCCCGGUAGUCC